GAAUUACUGGGGCGUCAAGCGUCCCGCAGGCGUCUUUGUAAGUCUGGUGUAAAAGCACGGAGCUCAACUCCGUGUACGUACUGGAUACUACAAAGAUAGAGUCAUACAGAGGCAUCUGGAAUUCCAUGUGGAGGGGUAAAAUCCGUUGAUCCAUGGAGGAACGCCAAAAGCGAGGGCAGGAUGCUGGGUAUGUACUGACGCUCAGGGACGAAAGCGUGGGGAGCAAAGGGGAUUAGAUACCCCCGUAGUCCACGCCCUAAACUAUGCGUGCUCGGUGUUGGAGUUUUUCAAUUGACUUCAGUGCCUCAGCUAACGCGGUAAGCACGCCGCCUGGGAACUACGGCCGCAAGGCUAAAACUCAAAGGAAUAGACGGGGACCCACACAAGCGGUGGAGCAUGGGGUUUAAUUCGAUGAUAAGCGGAGCACCUCACCCAGGUUUGACAUCCCGAGAAAAUUCUAGAAAUAGAAUUGUGCCGUAAGGAACUCGGUGACAGGUGGUGCACGGUCGUCGUCAGCUCGUGCCUUGAGGUGUACUGUUAAGUCAGCAAACGAGCGCAACCCUCAUCCUAUGUUGCAUUUUUCAUAGGAGACUGCCGCCUCCAAGGCGGAGGAAGGUGAGGAUGACGUCAGAUCUGCGUGUCCCUUAUGCCUGGGGCGACACCCGUGCUACAAUGGCCGAUACAAAGGGCAGCCAACCCGCGAGGGGGAGCCAAUCCCAUCAAAAUCGGUCUCAGUCCGGAUUGCAGUCUGCAACUCGACUGCAUGAAGUUGGAAUCGCUAGUAACCGUGAAUCAGCCAUGUCACGGUGAAUAUGUUCCUGGGUCUUGUACACACCGCCCGUAA
rnacentral:rRNA from 1 species